AAUCGACGCUGGCGGCGUGCCUCAGACAUGCAAGUCGAACGAUUAAAGCUCUCUUCGGAGAGUGCAUAGAGUGGCGCACGGGUGAGUAACACGUAAGUAAUCUACCCUCGAGUGGGGAAUAACAGUCGGAAACGACUGCUAAUACCGCAUAAUGCAGCGGCACCGCAAGGUGACAGUUGUUAAAGGAGCAAUCCGCUUGAGGAGGAGCUUGCGGCAGAUUAGCUAGUUGGUAGGGUAAUGGCUUACCUAGGCUACGAUCUGUAUCCGGUCUAAGAGGACGGUCGGACACACUGACACUGAAUAACGGGUCAGACUCCUACGGGAGGCAGCAGUCGGGAAUUUUGGGCAAUGGGCGAAAGCCUGACCCAGCAACGCCGCGUGAAGGAUGAAGUAUUUCGGUAUGUAAACUUCGAAAGAAUAGGAAGAAUAAAUGACGGUACUAUUUAUAAGCUCCGGCUAACUACGUGCCAGCCGCCGCAGUAAUAC
rnacentral:rRNA from 1 species